GCAAUGGGGAGGAUUUGAGGUAUGCACACCUUUGCUCUAAUGCCUUCAGAGCUACAGAAAAUUUAUGUGAGACUGGUUGUGAAGCCCCUUCCGUGUUGUGUACUUCUGGGUGUGAUUUUAGAGAAGAAUCCUCAGUGCCCUUAAAUUCCACAUCCUAAACUGAUGCUUGCAGGCCUUGCACUCCUCCAGGAGUGGAUUCCUAAACUCCUGAUCCUCCACAGGAGUUCACGCUCCACGAAGGUUCUUGGGUGCAGUGAGGACCUUGUCUGCUCCAACAGCUGGGCCACACAGCAGAGGGAGCUGCUGAGAUAACAUUGCCCUCGCCUGUGAAAGUCAAACGGCUUCUCCCUCCCCUUGCCGGCCUAGCUUUGGUCUCUGUGCAAGCCGGCUGAAUCAGGUUGCCUCCGCCAGGUUUCUGGGCUCAGCAGUGACAGCUUAGGCUUGGCCCAUGACAGCCCGGACCUGCAGCUUCUGGGACUGUCGACUGCAUAAAGACUUUGCUG